rnacentral:rRNA from 1 species
CUGAGGUGUGCUGUGAACAACUCAGUGCGUCCAAAGCAAGCGUGACUUGGUUGCAUGAUUCCGCGCGGGAUGGCAAAGGAUCGACCAUAGGUGGAAACAGAUGUUCUCUUGAGUCCGCAAAGGGCAACGCAACGUUGGCGCCCCCAAAUCGACGGAGGCAAUCCGCUUCCGCGGUCGUCCUCACCGGGCAGCUGGGCGGUGUUAGCUCUGAACGGCAGUGAUGGGUCUGUUCAUCGUGAUGGAUAUUGACAUGCCAGAGGAGAAAU